UAGCUCAUUCAGUUAGAGCGUGGUGCUGAUAACACCAAGGUCGUGGGUUCGAUCCCCAU
rnacentral:tRNA from 1 species